rnacentral:rRNA from 1 species
GACGAACGCUGGCGGCGUGCUUAACACAUGCAAGUCGAACGAUGAUGCCCAGCUUGCUGGGUGGAUUAGUGGCGAACGGGUGAGUAACACGUGAGUAACCUGCCCCUGACUCUGGGAUAAGCGUUGGAAACGACGUCUAAUACUGGAUAUGACUGCCGGCCGCAUGGUCUGGUGGUGGAAAGAUUUUUUGGUUGGGGAUGGACUCGCGGCCUAGCAGCUUGUUGGUGAGGUAAUGGCUCACCAAGGCGACGACGGGUAGCCGGCCUGAGAGGGUGACCGGCCACACUGGGACUGAGACACGGCCCAGACUCCUACGGGAGGCAGCAGUGGGGAAUAUUGCACAAUGGGCGAAAGCCUGAUGCAGCAACGCCGCGUGAGGGAUGACGGCCUUCGGGUUGUAAACCUCUUUUAGUAGGGAAGAAGCGAAAGUGACGGUACCUGCAGAAAAAGCACCGGCUAACUACGUGCCAGCCGCCGCCGCAG